GGGGAAGUCGGUGACGGGAGCGGGUGGAAUAGGGAGGAGGCAUGGGUUAUUCGUGAUGAUGGGGCGGAAAGUGUCCGUGUGGGGCUAGUCAAGUCGGCGGGCAAAGACUGGGGCUUAACCCUGGAAAGGCCGUGGAAACUGACGAGCUAGAGUGCAGUAGUGGUAGAGGGAAUUCCCGGUGUAGCGGUGAAAUGCGGAGAGCUCGGGAAGAACAGCGGUGGCGAAAGCGCUCUACUGGACUGCAACUGACACUCAGGGACGAAAGCUAGGGGAGCGAAUGGGAUUAGAUACCCGGGUAUC
rnacentral:rRNA from 1 species